rnacentral:rRNA from 1 species
CACGUAGGGGCCAAGCGUUGUCCGGAUUUAUUGGGCGUAAAGAGCUCGUAGGCGGUUCGACAAGUCGGGUGUGAAAACUCCGGGCUCAACCCGGAGACGCCACCCGAUACUGUCGUGACUGGAGUCCGGUAGGGGAGUGGGGAAUUCCUGGUGUAGCGGUGAAAUGCGCAGAUAUCAGGAGGAACACCGGUGGCGAAGGCGCCACUCUGGGCAUUAACUGACGCUGAGGAGCGAAAGCAUGGGGAGCGAACAGG